rnacentral:rRNA from 1 species
AGUUUGAUCCUGGCUCAGGAGGAACACUAGCGGGCAGGCUUAACACAUGCAAGUCGAGGGGCAGCAUGUCCAGCAAUGAAUGAUGGCGACCGGCGGAAGGGUGCGUAACGCGUGAGCAACAUGCCCUAUACAGGGAGAUACACCAGGGAAACUUGGUCUAAUAUCCCAUAGCAUUCAUUGAAGGCAUCUUUAAUGAAUUAAAGCUUCGGUGGUAUAGGAUUGGCUCGCGUGACAUUAGCCAGAUGGUGAGGUAACGGCUCACCAUAGCAAUGAUGUCUAGGGGUUUUGAGAGGAAGGCCCCCCACACUGGGACUGAGACACGGCCCAGACUCCUACGGGAGGCAGCAGUGAGGAAUAUUGGACAAUGGAUGGAAAUCUGAUCCAGCCAUGCCGCGUGCAGGAAGACGGCCUUAUGGGUUGUAAACUGCUUUUAUACGGGAGCAAUAAGGGUUACGAGUAAUCCGAUGAGAGUACUGUAUGAAUAAGGAUCGGCUAACUCCGUGCCAGCAGCCGCGGUAAUACGGAGGAUCCGAGCGUUAUCCGGAAUUAUUGGGUUUAAAGGGUGCGUAGGCGGCCAUUUAAGUCAGCGGUGAAAUUUUGCAGCUUAACUGUAACAGUGCCGUUGAUACUGUUUGGCUAGGAUUUGGUUGUAGUGUGCGGAAUGUGUGGUGUAGCGGUGAAAUGCUUAGAUAUCACACAGAACACCGAUUGCGAAGGCAGCACACUAAGUCAUUAUUGACGCUGAGGCACGAAAGUGUGGGGAUCAAACAGGAUUAGAUACCCUGGUAGUCCACACUGUAAACGAUGAUAACUCGCUGUCGGCGAUACACAGUCGGGGCCAAGCGAAAGC